rnacentral:lncRNA from 1 species
CCACAGCGAGGUUAAGUGCAGCAGAACAGAACUGCCUAAAGUGGAAAUGGGCUGGGACCGGAGAGCGGAGACUUGCCGCCCUAGAGACCUCCACUGGGCUGCGGCGAGAGGAGCGUGGGACCUCUGUUUCCAUCAAACCUGGUGCUGCCGCAAGGAACCAUUUCAGCAGAAGCAUCAACUUCACGUACUUCUCGCUGCUUAGCAUCUGCAUUCAGAAAGCCUGAACUUCUCCCUCUGUCGUUGCCCCAAAUCCUCACUUCUCACGCUGCCCUGACGUCACCUGAGCAGCAGAACCAUGCCACUGACUUAAAGGCUUGCAGCCGGCUCCAGGUACCUCCUGUCCUGCCUGGUUUUACCCUUGGCUGGGAGGGAUGGAGAUCAACAGGCGCCAGCAUCCUCCAGAGACACCCAGGAGCCCUGGCCCUGUGUCGUGUCCAUCACCUGCUGAGCCUGCUGGAGGGCUUCCUCCUGCCUGGGAGGUUUUGGGCUCCAGGCAUGUUGGGGUGAGCGAAGAUGAGGCCGUGGAGGUGAUGAGGGGCUGGAGGACAGGAGAGGAGCAGUCAGAGCAGCAGGUCUGUGCAGCCUGGGAGAGGGAAAGGGGGUGUCACUGCUGUCGGCAGCUGCCUGAUGAGACUUUGGAGAGAAGCCGGAGCCAGGCUCUCCUGGGAAGUGCCCAGGAACAGGAUAAGAGGCAGCGGCACAAGAUGCAUCAAGGCAAAUUCCAACUAGAUAUUAGGAAAAAUAUUUCCCCACAAGGGCAGUUGAACUCUGGAGCAGGGCCCAGAGAAGGGGGAGCAAUCUCCAAAUUCGGAAAGCCUCAGCCCUCGGCAGGGCCAGCCCCUGAGCAACUUGCUCGAGGUUGA